AUUGAACGCUGGCGGCAGGCCUAACACAUGCAAGUCGAACGAGCGGCGGACUGGUGAGUAAUGUAUGGGCAACUGCGCGAUGGAGGGGGCUAACUACUGUAACCGGUAGCUAAUACCGCAUACUAUCCGAUGUGCUCAGAUGGGAUUAGCUAGUCGGUGGGGUAAAGGCUCACCUAGGCGACGAUGCCUAGCUGGUCUGAGAGGGUGAACAGCCACACUGGGACUGAGACACGGUCCAGACUCCUACGGGAGGCAGCAGUGGGGAAUAUUGCACAAUGGGCGCAAGCCUGAUGCAGCCAGGCCGCGUGUAUGAAGAAGGCCUUCGGGUUGUAAAGUACUUUCAGCGGGGAGGCGUUACUCGCAGAAGAAGCACCGGCUAACUCCGUGCCAGCAGCCGCGGUAAUAC
rnacentral:rRNA from 1 species